rnacentral:lncRNA from 1 species
GUUUGCAGCAGUCCAGCAAGUGCUCUGAGAGGCACUGUGCCUCAGGUCUGUGGUAUGGUGCACUUCUAAACUAGAAAGAAAGGACUGAGGUACAAGUCAACUUGCCUGAAAUAGAUGGACUUUAAGGACUUUGACGCAGUGGGAGAAAAAAAAGGGGGCUAAGUAUAUAAUAGUCCUGUGAAAUACUUUGGAUGAUAGAUUUCGGCAUUCCCAGAGUAACACAAGCGGAUAGAUUCCCACAGUUUGUGUUUGUUUAG